AGCUUCAAAAGUAUGAUAUAGUGUUAACAACAUAUAGCACGUUAAGUUGGGAAGAUGAUUGGUGGCAUCAUCCCUUAAAGAGAAUGGAGUGGUGGCGUAUCAUAUUGGAUGAAGCGCCGCAUAUAAUUAAGGAUUACGGGUCAAAAAAAAAGUGUUGUUUUGACUAAGUUGAAUUCAAGAUUUAGAUGGGUUGUGACUGGGACAUCGUUGCAAAAUCGUUCAAUGGAUUUAUUCUUUCCCAUGGUGUUCUUAAGGUUCUACCCGUUUUCGACUAAAAGCUAUUGGGAUGACUUGGUGCAAUGCCCAAUUGCUAGAGGGAAUGCAAAUGGGCUCUCAAGGCUGCAGGCGUUAAUGGCAACAGUCUCUUUGAGGCGUACAAAAGAAAAGAUUCAUAUUGUGUUGCCUCCAAAGACGAUCCGUAUGUGCAAUGUGGCGCUUUCUGCAGAGGAGCGAAAAUUGUAUGAUGAUGUUGAAGCGAGGGCCAAGAUAUAUGUUGAAAAUUAUAUUGCAAAAAGGAGUGUAACAAAAAAUCACUCAAUGGUUAUAAGCAUCAUAUCAUGGCUUCGCCACACACAUUGAGAAUUGGUUCCUUUCGAUGUUUUAGCAUCAAUUCCAAUCUCCAACUUUAAAGAUGCAUCGAACAACCCGGUUCUUCUUAACAAGCUUGUCACCCUACUACAAAGGAUGAAGCCUUUGAAUGCCCGAUUUGCCUAUCUCCUUCAACACAAAUUAUUAUCACGUCUUGUUCUCAUAUGUUCUGCGAAAACUGUAUAACCAAGGUCAUAAACCGUUCCGUUUCACUA